rnacentral:rRNA from 1 species
AUUGAACGCUGGCGGCAGGCUUAACACAUGCAAGUCGAACGAAGUCUUCGGACUUAGUGGCGGACGGGUGAGUAACACGUGGGAACGUACCUUUUGGUUCGGAACAACUCAGGGAAACUUGAGCUAAUACCGGAUGAGCCCUUAGGGGGAAAGAUUUAUCGCCGAAAGAGCGGCCCGCGUUAGAUUAGCUAGUUGGUGAGGUAAAGGCUCACCAAGGCUACGAUCUAUAGCUGGUCUGAGAGGAUGAUCAGCCACACUGGGACUGAGACGCGGCCCAGACUCCUACGGGAGGCAGCAGUGGGGAAUCUUGCGCAAUGGGCGAAAGCCUGACGCAGCCAUGCCGCGUGAAUGAUGAAGGUCUUAGGAUUGUAAAAUUCUUUUACCAGGGACGAUAAUGACGGUACCUGGAGAAAAAGCCCCGGCUAACUUCGUGCCAGCCGCCGCCGUAAUAC